CCCCCAGAUGGGAAUUUCACAGGAACUGCAGAUUACUGCCUCUGCUCAGCCCCCCAUUCAAGAGAGGAUUUGGAUACCUUGUGAGAGUUGGAUGGCUUGUGAGGUAAACAGAUCAUGUAAGAGCUUUUGCUGCUGACAGCUGUUCUGUAAAGGUGUGAAAAUCUUGAUGCUCUGCAUUAGCUGGAUAGAAAGGAUGUACCCAAAUUGACUACAUUACUCUGUGCUUGAAGAGCAAAGGCAAGAUUUCUUCUUCAACACUGCAUUGCCAGUCCUGGUUGUCAGUGGUGCCAGUUCUCCUUCACCCAUGGGAAGAAGAGACAGGGAGAAGGACCAAAGUUUUGCAAAACUACAAGGAUUCACUACAGCCUCCAGUGGGGAUGGUGGUAUGUGGGUUGGCCUGGCUAGAAUCAAUUACCAUAGCUCCAGUAUCACAAGGAGCAUGGGAAGAGAAAAACUGGCCUUAAAAACCAGUCGCACAAAGAAGCAAAUCUGUAGAAGAC